rnacentral:tRNA from 1 species
ACGCCCGUGGUUCAACUGGAGAGAGCACCUGCCUACGAAGCAGGAGAGUGCAGGUUCGAGUCCUGCCGGGCGUG